rnacentral:rRNA from 1 species
GGACUACUGGGGUAUCUAAUCCUGUUUGCUCCCCACGCUUUCGCACCUCAGCGUCAGUAUCGAGCCAGUGGGCCGCCUUCGCCACCGGUGUUCUUCCUAAUAUCUACGAAUUUCACCUCUACACUAGGAAUUCCACCCACCUCUCUCGAACUCAAGACUUGCUGUAUCAAAGGCAGUUCCGAGGUUGAGCCCCGGGAUUUCACCCCUGACUGACAAAUCCGCCUACGUGCGCUUUACGCCCAGUGAUUCCGAACAACGCUAGCUCCCUUCGUAUUACCGCGGCUGCUGGCAC